GACGAACGCUGGCGGCGUGCUUAACACAUGCAAGUCGAACGGAAAGGCCCUGCUUUUGUGGGGUGCUCGAGUGGCGAACGGGUGAGUAACACGUGAGUAACCUGCCCUUGACUUUGGGAUAACUUCAGGAAACUGGGGCUAAUACCGGAUAGGAGCUCCUGCUGCAUGGUGGGGGUUGGAAAGUUUCGGCGGUUGGGGAUGGACUCGCGGCUUAUCAGCUUGUUGGUGGGGUAGUGGCUUACCAAGGCUUUGACGGGUAGCCGGCCUGAGAGGGUGACCGGCAACAUUGGGACUGAGAUACGGCCCAGACUCCUACGGGAGGCAGCAGUGGGGAAUAUUGCACAAUGGGCGGAAGCCUGAUGCAGCAACGCCGCGUGCGGGAUGCCGGCCUUCGGGUUGUAAACCGCUUUCGCCUGUGACGAAGCGUGAGUGACGGUAAUGGGUAAAGAAGCACCGGCUAACUACGUG
rnacentral:rRNA from 1 species